AAUACAACUCUCUAACACCAGGAGAUGGCUGUUGUAGCCAUAACUUUGCUAUGUCUCAUACUCUUCAAUAAUCUACUGAUGCAGUCUCAGCCAUUGCUCCAUCCCCAAGGCAAUAAUAAUAAUAAUAAUAAUAAUAAUGGAGAAUGGGGGAUUGAAGACGAAGAUGAUGCAUUGGAACACUCUGCAAUGGAUUACAGCACUGUAAAACGACGUCGUCCCAUACAUAAUAUGUCUUCCCAACAACAUCCUUAAUGAUAUUUCAAGUCUUUUCCUCAAAUUUUAUGUAUAUGACUUAUUAAUGGGCUUUCGCUAACUAAGCUUCCGGCCCAAACUUCGACCUUCAAUUGGGCGGCCCAGGAAGUACAAUUCGCUUGGGCCCUUGCCACUUCCAACUC